rnacentral:rRNA from 1 species
UACGGGGGGGGGCAAGCGUUGUUCGGAAUUACUGGGCGUAAAGGGCGCGUAGGCGGUUCGCUAAGUUGGAUGUGAAAACUCUGGGCUCAACCCAGAGCCUGCAUCCAAAAACUGGCGGGCUAGAGUUCUGGAGGGGGUAGCGGAAUUCCUGGUGUAGCGGUGAAAUGCGUAGAUAUCAGGAAGAACACCCGUGGCGAAGGCGGUUAGCUGGGGCAGUUGCUGACACUGAGGCGCGACAGCGUGGGGGAGCAAACAGG